rnacentral:ncRNA from 2 species
UGAAUCGUUUCGCUCCGAAGCUGGAUUGCCUAAAGCAAUGCUAUGGUGACCAGACUAGUGUCUUAGGCACUCGGGUAUUAUGGGAAACUGUGAUAUCUCCUGCUGGAAAGGAGUCUGUUGACAGGUGGA